UAUGUUAAAAUGCAAUGCAUACUAACCAAAUUGUGAGAGAUGUGAUGGCUUGAGAGCGAAAGGGGCACUGACUUCCUUGGGUUCGAUCUCCUAAACCUCCGGAGGGUUAGCUAUACCGGUCGUCCGAGUAUCUGCAAUCACGGACUCGGUACGUGUGUAUAGCUAGGUAGUGGACGUUCUCGCUACGCUUACCUGGUGAUAAAUUAAUUUGGGGUAAGGUCGUGUAGUGGGUCUAUGGGACCGGCCAUCAGUAUGAUUGCAGGUACUGUGCACUGGUGACGGGACAUUAGCGGACGGAGCUGGGUGUGCAUAACAAGUUCGGUAAACCCUUGUCUGGAGUUGUGCUAACUUUUAUUUCUCAAACUUCGUGCUUCGGAGCUUGUUGUUAUCUAGCCUCAGGUUAAACUCAGUUGGAUUCUCUUUCAUUGAAA